UGGAGGCAGCAGUGAGGAAUAUUGCACAAUGGGCGAAAGCCUGAUGCAGCAACGCCGCGUGAGCGAUGAAGACCUUCGGGUUGUAAAGCUCUUUUCUGAAGGACGAGGAAGGACGGUACUUCAGGAAUAAGGAUCGGCUAACUACGUGCCAGCAGCCGCGGUAAUACGUAGGAUCCGAGCGUUAUCCGAAUUUACUGGGCGUAAAGCGUGUGUAGGCGGUUUGAUAAGUUGGAUGUGAAAGCUCCCGGCUCAACUGGGAGAGGCCGUUCAAAACUAUCAGACUAGAGGACGGUAGAGGAAGGUAGAAUUCCCGGUGUAGUAGUGAAAUGCGUAGAUAUCGGGAGGAAUACCAGUGGCGAAGGCGGCCUUCUGGACCGUUCCUGACGCUCAGACACGAAAGCUAGGGGAGCGAACGGGCUUAGAUACCCUGGUAGA
rnacentral:rRNA from 1 species